GCACCUGCCUGGCGGGGAGAUACCAUGAUCACGAGGUGGUUUCCCAGGGCGAGGCUUGUGUUUGCACUUCCGGAUGUGCUGACCUACGUUUCUACAAAUGUGGGAAACUCGACUGCAUAAUUUGUGGUAGUGGGGGACUGCGUUCGCGCUUUCCCCUG
rnacentral:snRNA from 1 species